GCGGAGGGCCGGACGGUCGCUCCGGUCGGGGAAACCCGGCCGGGGAGGAAAGUCCGGACUCCCCGAAGCAACGGUGCCGGGUAACGCCCGGGCAGGGCAACCUGACGGAAAGCGCCACAGAGAACAGACCACCGCCGGUGCGCCGGCGGCCAGGGUGAAACGGUGGGGUAAGAGCUCACCGGGGCGGUGGCAACACGGCCCGCAUGGCAAGCCCCACCGGGAGCAAUGCCGCAUAGGGACCCCGCGCGGGCUGAUCCUUUCGGGGAUAUCGCCGCAGGGCCGCUUCGGCCCGAGGGGUCCGGGUUGGCAGCAGGAGCCGGAUCGCGAGGUCCGGCCAAGAUGAAUGAUCGUCUGGGGCGGGUUCGCCCGCCCGACACAGAAUCCGGCUUACAGGCCCUCCGCGCGA
rnacentral:RNase_P_RNA from 1 species